rnacentral:rRNA from 1 species
CUACGGGUCGCAGCAGUGGGGAAUAUUGCACAAUGGGCGCAAGCCUGAUGCAGCAACGCCGCGUGAGUGAAGAAGGUCUUCGGAUCGUAAAACUCUGUCCUAUGGGAAGAAAAAAAUGACGGUACCAUGGGAGGAAGCCCCGGCUAACUACGUGCCAGCAGCCGCGGUAAUACGUAGGGGGCAAGCGUUAUCCGGAAUCACUGGGCGUAAAGGGUGCGUAGGCGGCUUGUCAAGCCAGAGGUGAAAGGCAUUGGCUCAACCAAUGUAAGCCUUUGGAACUGACGAGCUUGAGUACAGGAGAGGUAAGUGGAAUUCCUAGUGUAGAGGUGAAAUUCGUAGAUAUUAGGAGGAACACCAGUGGCGAAGGCGACUUACUGGACUGUAACUGACGCUGAGGCACGAAAGCGUGGGUAGCGAACAGGAUUAGAUACCCGCGUAGUC